GACGAACGCUGGCGGCGUGCCUAAUACAUGCAAGUAGAACGCUGAAGGAGGAGCUUGCUUCUCUGGAUGAGUUGCGAACGGGUGAGUAACGCGUAGGUAACCUGCCUGGUAGCGGGGGAUAACUAUUGGAAACGAUAGCUAAUACCGCAUAAUAGUAGAUGUUGCAUGACAUUUGCUUAAAAGGUGCAAUUGCAUCACUACCAGAUGGACCUGCGUUGUAUUAGCUAGUUGGUGGGGUAACGGCUCACCAAGGCGACGAUACAUAGCCGACCUGAGAGGGUGAUCGGCCACACUGGGACUGAGACACGGCCCAGACUCCUACGGGAGGCAGCAGUAGGGAAUCUUCGGCAAUGGACGGAAGUCUGACGAGCAACGCCGCGUGAGUGAAGAAGGUUUUCGGAUCGUAAAGCUCUGUUGUAAGAGAAGAACGAGUGUGAGAGUGGAAAGUUCACACUGUGACGGUAUCUUACCAGAAAGGGACGGCUAACUACGUG
rnacentral:rRNA from 1 species